CGUGGGUAACCUACCUAUAAGACUGGGAUAACUUCGGGAAACCGGAGCUAAUACCGGAUAACAUUUGGAACCGCAUGGUUCUAAAGUGAAAGAUGGUUUUGCUAUCACUUAUAGAUGGACCCGCGCCGUAUUAGCUAGUUGGUAAGGUAACGGCUUACCAAGGCGACGAUACGUAGCCGACCUGAGAGGGUGAUCGGCCACACUGGAACUGAGACACGGUCCAG
rnacentral:rRNA from 1 species